ACCCGAGUGGCGAAAUGGUUACCGCGUCUGCCUUCUAAGAUUACGUAAUCUUCCAGCAGAAGACUGAGGGUUCGAGUCCCUCCUUGGGUU
rnacentral:tRNA from 1 species